rnacentral:tRNA from 5 species
AUUUCAGCUUUGGGUGCUGAUGGUGGAGCAAGAGCUUCUUCCUUGA